rnacentral:ncRNA from 1 species
CUUAUCAAGAGUGGUGGAGGGACAGGCCCUAUGAUACCCGGCAACCGAUAUAUAUUUAUAUAAGAAGGUGCUAAAUCCUGCAGCUUAUGCUGAAAGAUGAGA